rnacentral:rRNA from 1 species
AAAUUGAAGAGUUUGAUCAUGGCUCAGAUUGAACGCUGGCGGCAGGCCUAACACAUGCAAGUCGAACGGUAACAGGAAACAGCUUGCUGUUUCGCUGACGAGUGGCGGACGGGUGAGUAAUGUCUGGGAAACUGCCUGAUGGAGGGGGAUAACUACUGGAAACGGUAGCUAAUACCGCAUAAUGUCGCAAGACUAAAGAGGGGGACCUUCGGGCCUCUUGCCAUCGGAUGUGCCCAGAUGGGAUUAGCUAGUAGGUGGGGUAACGGCUCACCUAGGCGACGAUCCCUAGCUGGUCUGAGAGGAU